UAAUUAAGAGAGGAUGCAUUUUUAGACUGCUGUGGUCUGGUACUUUGCUGGCAGCUUUUGAAAGCUGUCAGAGCUCUGCCAAGAAAAAAAGGAUGGGACUACCAUCUAUUGGUUGAGGAGCUAUGACAGACUAGGCGCUGUGCUAAGUGAUUUACAUACGUAGUGACAUUUCAUCAUAAGAGCAUCCUGUAGGAUAGGACGCUCCUGCCCCACUUUUUAGGAGGAUGAUAAUAAGAUUCAGAGAGGAAAACUGACUUGCUCAAGGUCACCCAGCUGUGGGACACAAAGCUGCUAGGAUUUAACCCCAGAUGUGCCUGACUCAAGAGUCUAUUUUAAUCUUACACACCAGUCCUUGGAGCCAACUUUUAAUGUCCCUGGAAUUUGCCAUAUGCUCUGGAUUCUGGGCCUCAAGAAAAGAGAUCAAAACAAUGGAGACCCAGGAAUUCCACAUUCCAUUGUUAAAGUUCACGUGUGUUCUUCUAAAUUCGACGUGUCCCUUCUCUUGAGGACUGUGCUUCUUCCUCAAUAUGUCACUUGUGGACCAUGCUGUCUGAGCACUCUCACUGAUCCAUGAUGAGACAAACAACAGAAACCUAAAAUUCCUCACUUUGAGCUCAUGUCCAAACAGUCAACUUAUCAGCUCCUGAAUUAUUUAUCGGCAUUUGAGACAAUGGAAUGUGGUCCAGAUGGGGAUUUCUAUCUAAUGGAGAAAGUGCUUCCUCACAAACCUCCCCAGUGUUCCAAAACUGAAGCCUGUGGAAAGUGCAGAAUUCUUCAUCUGUCAAGAAGAUUGGCUAACCACCAGUCAAUAAGUGGGAUCAGACUUACAGACUACACAUUCAUUCUUCAGUCACUGAGCCCAGCAUCUUCUCCCUCUGCCAUGUUUUGUGCCAGGCAUUGUGCUGCACAGGUGUUCAGACUCCGUUCUUGGCAUCAAAGAGCUCAAAGUCUGUUGAAGUGAAGAAGAAAAGUGAGCAGAUCAUUAGGAUGGGCUGUGAUAAAGGUACCUGAACUGGUACAAGCCUUCAGUCUGGGAGAUCUACUCUACUAUCUUCAAAAUACCUAUCUCAAAGAUGGCAGAAGAGAGGACUGGAAAGGAUUUAAUACCUUGCCUAUGAUUAUACAGUUAAUAAAUAUUAAA